rnacentral:rRNA from 1 species
AUUGAACGCUGGCGGCAUGCCUUACACAUGCAAGUCGAACGGUAACAGGUCUUCGGAUGCUGACGAGUGGCGAACGGGUGAGUAAUACAUCGGAACGUGCCCAGACGUGGGGGAUAACGAGGCGAAAGCUUUGCUAAUACCGCAUACGAUCUAAGGAUGAAAGCAGGGGACCGCAAGGCCUUGCGCGUUUGGAGCGGCCGAUGGCAGAUUAGGUAGUUGGUGGGAUGAAUGCUUACCAAGCCGACGAUCUGUAGCUGGUCUGAGAGGACGACCAGCCACACUGGGACUGAGACACGGCCCAGACUCCUACGGGAGGCAGCAGUGGGGAAUUUUGGACAAUGGGCGAAAGCCUGAUCCAGCAAUGCCGCGUGCAGGAUGAAGGCCUUCGGGUUGUAAACUGCUUUUGUACGGAACGAAAAGGCUCUGGCUAAUACCUGGGGCACAUGACGGUACCGUAAGAAUAAGCACCGGCUAACUACGUG